UGAGGCAGAGAGGUUUAUUCUACUAUAAUGUAAAUACAGCGAGUGCAUCACGGCGGACAACACGCAUGUGAUGGGAGCAAAAAAUGAUAAAACCAUCAUUACAGUCCAAUUUAAUAAUAAUUCUGUCUUUUUAUCAUCAUAAAAUGUGCUUUAUUUUUUAAUUACUUAAUUAGCUUAUUUUUCUUGCCAGCCGUCUGAUUACACUGGUGCCAUUUUGUGUUUAUUUAAUUUUUUAUCUGCUAAAAAUGCACUUUGGAAAUACACGAGGUGGGACCUGCAGUAUGCAUGCCUCAAGGCAGAGGGCGCUGGUGAGCCCAGACAACGUAUCACUGCACCUAAACAAUUAUAGAGUUAGCAAGUCUACUGUGGCCGUCCAGUUAUACUUUAAUAUUGUUUAGCAUUAUUUUCUAAAUGGAGGAUGACGUUUUUAAAUCCCUAAGCUCAAGAAUGUAUUUAGACACUUCACUGACGAAGCAGCGGAUGGAUUUCAUUUAAGUAAAAGGAGUCCCGGAUCUCGCCAAAGGCCUCAUCUAAACUGGAUACAUCCAGAACACCUCCACUGGUGAGAAGACCUCUUUUCCCAAUUCCCCAAGCACCUAAUUUUCCUUCUUUUUGAUGAACGGGAGGAGCAACUUUUUUUUUUCAUUCUCCCAGAUGACUGAACUCUUGACCCCAACCCUAAGGGUGCAGCUACCUAUGAGGUUUCUUAAAAUAGGGGAGGGUUGGGCUGUAGUUUAACUGACAGCUCUACCUUCUGGGUUUAUUCUCUGUUCUGAGACACAGUCUUGUAGCAGCAUGAGACAGAUAUUAACCCAGCAAGACUGUCAAGUUCUUGUUCUUAUCUAGCCCCACACAUGAACAUGACCCUGAGAUGGGCGUGAAAUAUUUUUCUAGGCUCUGAGGGUUUGUGAUUUAAAUGUCCUUAUGGAAAUUGUGGUCAGCACAUCCUCCAGGCCACAGAAAACAAAGGCUGCAAUCAGUUUUCAAAGGAUGCUAUGUGCAAACGUCAGCAUCUCAUUCUGUUUUGGGGCACAGGUUUUAUAAGACAUGCAGGGUUAGGUGGGUGAAAUAAUGUGGGGAAAAUACACUGUAUACAAGUUUUACUGCAUCAUCUAUUGCCAUCUGGAGAACUUUCUCUGAGAGGUUUUUACUUAAAUAAGUACAGAGAUAAUUAUG